UUGCUUCUCGCUGACGAGCGGCGGACGGGUGAGUAAUACUUAGGAAUCUGCCCAGUAGUGGGGGAUAGCACGGGGAAACUCGUAUUAAUACCGCAUACACCCUACGGGGAAAAGGGGGCGCUUGCGCUCUCGCUAUUGGAUGAGCCUAAGUCGGAUUAGCUAGUUGGUGGGGUAAAGGCCUACCAAGGCGACGAUCUGUAGCUGGUCUGAGAGGAUGAUCAGCCACACCGGGACUGAGACACGGCCCGGACUCCUACGGGAGGCAGCAGUGGGGAAUAUUGGACAAUGGGGGCAACCCUGAUCCAGCCAUGCCGCGUGUGUGAAGAAGGCCUUUUGGUUGUAAAGCACUUUAAGCAGUGAAGAAGACUCUAUGGUUAAUACCCAUAGACGAUGACAUUAGCUGCAGAAUAAGCACCGGCUAACUCUGUGCCAGCAGCCGCGGUAAUACAGAGGGUGCAAGCGUUAAUCGGAAUUACUGGGCGUAAAGCGAGCGUAGGUGGCUUAAUAAGUCAGAUGUGAAAUCCCCGGGCUUAACCUGGGAACUGCAUCUGAUACUGUUGGGCUAGAGUAGGUGAGAGGGAGGUAGAAUUUCAGGUGUAG
rnacentral:rRNA from 1 species